GCGAAUAUGGCGGAACUGGUAGACGCAACAGACUUAAAAUCUGUCGGGAUUUACUCCCGUGCCGGUUCGAUUCCGGCUUUUCGCACCA
rnacentral:tRNA from 1 species